GCCUGCAGCCAGUGUGUUGUUUGAAGUCGUAGGUUGAGGUGUACGUCAUAGAGAAUGUGACCGGUGAGAAAAUGGAAUCUGGCAACGAUAGUGAGUUCGAAGAAGCUUUUGAUGAAGCAGUUGGUGAAAUUGUUAUGAUUCUAAGUGAGGAGUUGAGAGAAAUUGCCAACCAAGAUAGAGUGUGGGUGAAAGACUGGGCAGGACGAAGAGAUAACGCCCGAGCAUCAACCACUUCCUUUCUUGAACAGUCGACGGAAGAUAUUCCGGCAUAUGAGAAACACUUGAGAAUAUCUACCGAACAAUUUAAUGAGCUUUUGAACAUAAUUGAGCCACAAAUAACGAAGAAAGAUACUAUUAUGAGAAAUGCAAUAACUCCCAAAGAGAAACUAGAGGUCACGUUGCGGUAUUUGGCUACUGGUGAUAGUUUUCAGUUCCUAGCUUUAUUGUUUUGCGUUUCAGCCGCCGCAAUUUCUAAAUUUAUUCCUGAAGUUCUGCUAGCAAUCAUAAAUGGAUUGCAACACUACCUAAAGGUUCCCAAAACUGUAGAUGAGUGGAGACAAGUACAAAAAAGCUUCGAAAUGACAUGGAAUUUCCCGAAUUGCUGCGGUGCACUGGACGGUAGGCACAUCGCCCUCAGACGCCCGCCCGAUGGUCGCGCAGAACUUUUCAAAUACAGAGGGCGCUACAGUGUUGUACUGCUGGCUUUGGUUGACGCAGACAGUAAGUUCCUCUAUGUAGAAGUGGACACAAACGGGCGUGCUGAUGACAUGUGCGUGUUCCGAUCGUCUUCUCUGAAAACUGCUAUUAAAAACAACAGCCUCAACUUGCCUCCUGACCACGUCAUUAUAGCAGAUAACACGUUUCCCUUGACAACGAGUAUAAUGAAGCCAUUCUCAAAACGAGACUUCUCCGCAGUGGAGCGAAUUUUCAACUACCGCUUAUCAAGAGCUCGAAGAGUUGUGGAUAACGCGUUCGGCAUAUUGGCAGCUAGAUUUGAAGUAUUUCGAAAGGAAAUCGAACUUGAUGUAUCAACAACUGAUUUGAUAGUGCGAGCUGCAUGCACUAUUCACAACUGGCUGUGUACAGUAUCGCCAGAAACGUAUCUUGGGAAGGGAUGGGCCGACUUUGAAGACGCGGAAACAGGAGAGAUACAUCCGGGCCUUUGGCGCGAAACUGCAGUCGAGCUGCCGCCGCUGCGGACUAGCCGCGCAGUUUGUCCCUACACCAAGGAAGCUGCUAAAAAAAGGAAUAGUAUAGCGACUUACUUCAGCGAGGAAGGACAAGUUCCUUUCCAAAUGAGGGCAAUUGAAAUGUAAACAUCGUGGAAAAUAAUGCGUCACAACAAUUUUUGGUGUUUGCUAUGUUAUGUCUGACUGUUAAGGUACAUCCUUUCAGCAGCAGCAAGAAUAGUAUUUAGUUUUGAUUAUAAAUACGUUCAGCGUGUAAUACCGUUUGUUAUAGAAUUCUAUUAGCGUAAAUAAGUAACUCCAGUCAUAUUAAAUUUAAGCCAUGUAUAGGUACCAGCGUAAAACCCUGACGAGUAAGAUUUUCUAAAAUUUUGCGAUAAACGUAAUGGACAUGUAAUCUGCGUAGUGCGCACAAUAAACGAAAUGAUUCAUUGCAGUCCUUCAGCUUGGAAGUUGUCUUCCUAUUAUUGCAUGUCAAAUGUUUGAGUUAAUUUUAUUUGGGAUUUAUGUGAACUUCCUCUAUUUCAAUGUAUGAGAAUAUGCAUUCAAAAAUUCAUCUUAUGGAAGUUGUACCUGACUAUACUAAAAAAAAAACAGUAAUGAAGU
rnacentral:misc_RNA from 1 species